GCUCCAGUGGCGCAAUUGGUUAGCGCACGGUACUUAUAUGACAGUAAACGUGGCCUUGAUAUGAGCGAUGCCGGGGUUGUGAGUUCGAACCUCACCUGGAGCA
rnacentral:tRNA from 1 species